GCCUAGCGUUUAAAAGCACAUCAUGAUCUUGAUAUAAAAAGUUAAUUUCUUUGGUGUAAAAAGGAAAUGAUAUGCACGAACUUAAGUGUGUGUUGUUCUUUUGUGUGAGGAAAUUGUUAAAUGGUAAUAAGGUGAAUUUUUCGAAGUAAUAGAAUAGAGUAGAAUACUUGAGAAGAUGCACAAGCUUGAAAGUGUGGUUAUGUUUUUCGGUUAUAAGAAAUAUCGUUGAACGGUUUUUGAGUUAGAAUGGACAUUAUUGAAUGAUUAGAAAAUUAAAAAGAUGUAUAAAUAAUCUAUAUAUGUAGUAUCUUUUGACAAUGAAAGAGGUUAUUAAAUCUCUUAUUAAGUGUUUGAGAAGAUCUUUGAUAUAUAGUUCUUUUUGAUGAAAGAUUAUUAAACGAUACUUGAGAGCAUGAAUUUUUUUAAUUAGUGGAAUAUUGAUUGUUGGAUAUAUCCGUGAUGAGAUGGUGGAAUAUAUGUAUUUGGUUUUGCAACUGAUCAACGUAAUUGAUAAUUCGUUUCUCGAAUCAACGGGUUCGAAUCGUUUAUUUUCAGGAUGGCGCGAGCAGUCAAAGGUCUCUGCACGAUUUGCAUUGCCACGCAAUUGCGAGGGACUCGCGUAUUUGCAAAUAUAAUUGCACCGGUUCGAUACGCGAGCUUUUUCACCCGGGCUGACCUCGAUCGCAUAUAGGAUUAUUACAGUGAUUCCUCGAUCGAGGUAAUUAAUUCCGUUCUGUUCGACGAUAUCUUGGAAAACGGUUCUUGGUGGUCGAUGCUUUCGUGAAGAGAAUAAUUCGAUUCUUUGAAGAUCGAUUUUGAAUUACAAUUAUGAGAAGAUUACUGAUGCCAAUUGCUACAAACGACACAAGUACACGAAUCAAGAAACUCUUUAUCAUAAGAACAACUAUCUUAUUCGCAGCUGAAGAAUUAACCUUGAUCUAUUCUACAUAGAUACAGUAGGAUCGAAGUUGGAGAAAUUAGCAAAACCGUUUCUCAUCGAUCACGAUAUUCAAUUAUCUACACCAUGUACAUGUUGCCAUUAUCUCGAACAUGGUUGAAACACGAGUUACACGAUGGUGUACAAAUUCGAAACGGCAGUCCGGCAUUGAGGUAGUCGGACCACCCUGUACAUAAAUAGAAGGAGGCACUACGACGUACGAGCGGUCCGUCCGAGUUUCUACGUUCUCCAGAGCGGCGAAGGUCACAGUUAAUCGACCGCGAGAUACAUAGUCACUCUGGUUACAGCGAGAAAAGUAACGACUAGUAUAAUUGCGGCCCUUCGUUUCCGUUUCGCCAACGUACCGGCAACGCACAAUUUCCACCGGCGAAACGAUCGAGACUCGAACUAUCGUUUUCUGUCGAACGUAGAUGGAGAGGAAAAAGAAUUAAAAAAAAAAGAGGGAUGGAAAGAAGAGAAGCCUUCUCUUCGGAGAGUUUUAUAUUCCAAAUACAGUACGAUUUUUUAUUUUUGUGGAUCGAAAAUGGAAAUUUGUGAAUUAGGAAAUUCUUGGGUGAAGAAAGAAAAUGAAAAUAAGAGAAAAGAAAAGAAAAGACCAAAGGAUGUCAUUCUUAAAAUUUCAAAAGAGAUUUCUUCGUACGUUUUUCGAUCUAAAAGGAAUCGAAAGUGGAAACUUGUGAAUUGGAAGGAUUUGGUUUCGAAGAUAGAGAGCAGAGGAAGUUGUUUAUUGAAGAGGCGAAUGAGGAGGAGGAGACGAGGGAAACGGCACCGUUAUCGAUACUCAUUUCUUCAUGGAAAAAUGUUCGUCCGUUUUAAUACUCAACCGAUGCGCGAACCUUACUUAGGGGAAAUUAAUUUUUAAUUCUUAAUAUAGGGAACAUUUUAAGUAAAGAAUCAAGUAUCUAUAUCCAAGAAGCUUGAAUUUUAAGUAUCGUCAACUAUAUUCGAUCUCGAGAAUAUCCCAGAUCUAUCGAGAAUCAAAACUUGAAAUAGCACUCGUUCGCAAAGGAUUAAACUCUCGAUUCCAAUAUCUUCUUUCAAUCCAAUUCAUUCUCUUACGAAACAUCUCUUCACGAAAUACUUUACGUCAGAAAAUCUCGUAGAUCAGCCACGCCAAUGUCGAGACGAACGAGCACAAUUCCCGUGGCCGGAAAAUCGAUCACCGUUAGCGCCGUGAACGGCGUUGGUUCGUGAGGCUGAAUCGUAUGCCUGUGCCGAUUCGUAUAUACGUGAGAGAGGAUAACGAUAACGGGAGUGCAACGCCUGGGAAAACGAAGCGAGCGUUCGUUCGUCUUCCGUGAGAUGCGGAGGCCUGCGACGGUGUAAUACAAUGUUAUUUAUUUACCAGCCGAGAGAGUUACCGAUUAAAGCGAUCCCAUGCCCUGCGGCCAAUCGCGCUAUUCGAUGACGAUCUCUCUCUCUCUCUCUCUCUCUCUGAAUCGGUUCGUAAUCGGUUCGCUUAGUUUCUCUAUAGUGGCUUUUUUACCGCGAUACGGAUAGAAACGGAAGCUCGAUGAGGCCUAUUAAUUCGCGUCUAACAUGCACUAUGCGGUCACGGGAAUCUCGAGAUUCUAGGCAUUCUGAUUGCUUUGACUUUUAAACGGCCGUUGUUAAACCGUUUGUCGAUCGAAUUAUCUUUCGAUCUGCGACCAUUCGCGCGUGACUUUUGAUCUAAUUUUCGGAAUGAUUAUGAUCCUUGGAAUUUUUUUUUAUCGUACAAUAGAUUAACUGAAAUAUUGGUCUUUUAUUUUUAGGUGAGAUGGGAUAAUGGAAGAUUUAAUCGGCCAUUACAAUGUGAGAUCACUCGUACGUGACUUUUGGUCUAAUUUUUGGAUUCUUGAAAAUGAUCACGAUCCGUGGAAUUUCCUUUUUACGCGUGGUGUAAUAAAUUAACUGGAAUCCUUUGAGAUAGAUAGAUCGAUAGAUCUAUUUGAUUGAUAUAUUUAAUUGACAUCAGAUAUUCGUCACAAACGUUUUCUCAGACGUUACUUUGAACCCGAGGAAAAGGAAUAAAAUUGAUGGUAAGUAAAAAAAUAUGGCGGAUGCGGGGUUCAUGCCGGCAAUUAACCGCGCGUGACGUUCUCGAUAUCGAAGCGAGUAAACGGGUUGCUAAUGUUCCGUAGGAUUUUUAUGAUCACGCAAAUAGUUUACGAGGCUCUCGUGCCCCGGUAUCGAGGCACGUUCGAGCGAAUCGCGUUGCCGCAAUGCACCUAGCUCGGAUUCGCUCUCACGCGGCGCGCUUACUCGCCUGGAAAAUUAUCCAGUAACCCAGUGACACUGUGAGAAGUGGCGGAACCUUUCGUCAAUCGCUGCAUGUCGAUACGUGACGCCCCCAUUCCUUUCUCAAGUUUCUCGAGAUUAUAGAGAGGUUCUUUGUCAAAAGUUCUUUGUCGAAAAUCCAACGAUGCCAAGAACAGCUUUAAGAACAAUGGAAAAGAAUGUCAAGAAAGAAGAGAUUCUUUAUGGCCAUAUGAUAUGGUUGAUAUUGAAAAAAAAUGAGAUUCUUCUUUGAGAAAAGAAUUUGCUCUUUUGCGGAUGGAAUGAUAGAAAUCCAAAUGAUGGAAAGGGUAUGGAGCAUGGUAUGAACAAUUAAAGAAAUGUAAAAGUCAGAAAAAUGGAGAUCUUUAUAAACUUCUGUAUGAAGUGUUUGAAAGAUGUUAAAUAUAUUACAAUUUUUAAAUAGAUGAAAAAGAAGAUACAGAAAAAUUCUUUGUUUAUGAUAAUUGUUGAUAUUCAAAAAAAAGUGAAUUUACUUAUUCCCUUGCUAAUCUCCAAGUAUAGAGAGGAGAAUAAUAUUCAAAAAGACGUAGCAUAGAUAAUUAAUAUAAUAUUAAUAGAUAAGGCAAUUAAAAGGUGUGGAAUGAUUGAAGAAAGUGUUUAUUACUUGAGGAAUACCAGUUAUAUCCUGACAAUGUAAUUUUACAACCCAUGAAAAAUACACUUAUACUUUUCUUUUUAUAUUAUUGUCUAUUAAAAAUUGAAAUUAAAGAUAGAUCAAAUUCUUUUCAGGAUAAUUCUAUCCCACACACCUUUCCUGGAUAGAUAAAGAAAUUUGUGGACGCGUAGGAAAGGCGAGAAAAGGAAGAAGAUCGGUAUUCUACGCGUGUCCCCGGUCACGCCAGCAGAUUAAGUUAAUACCCUUGAGAUCGUAUCAUUGGCAAACGAGUGUUGCGCGGAUGGGAACAACCUGACGAAGGUCUCGCGGCACGGUGUCACUGGGUUACUGGAAAAUUUUCCAGACCAGCAAUCGCGACACAGGCACAAGCCGUGGCUGCCCGCCGACAUUCCAUUCACGAUCGAACCUUUAACCGCCGUUAAUUGAGUCGCAACCGUGUCGAACACGUGUUUCCCUUAUUUUAAAUUCAAUCACCUCGAUCUUCGAUUAAGACUCGCGCGAUCUUUGCAUCCAAUCAUGUUGUCGGAGGACAAAAAAAAAAGAGGAGGUAAUCUUGUAGGACAAGAGAUGAAAAAAGAAAUGAACAUGAGUCGCGAAACACUUCCGGAAUUACUAAUUACAGUGACUGGUUUCCAUAACAUUUCCAUGACAAAGAAAAGAUCGAUUCACCUUGGUGAAAAGUGUUUUGACCGAGAAAAAGAAUGCAAAUGAAGUGGCAUUAGUCAAGGGUAAGGCCGAACUCUUUGUGGCAACGCGUAAAAAUUGCAAGUGAAGUGAUACGAGUCAAGGAUAAGGUCGACUUCUUUGUGGAAAUAUGUAAAAAUGGCAAAUAAAGUGAUGCGAGUAAAGGAUAAGGUUGACUUCUUUGAAAAGACAUUUCAAAAUUCGAUCCUCGAUCCAUCGACUGAGUAUAUCCCCACUAUCCACAUCUGCUGUUUUCACCGAAAACAAGAAAGAAACGGAGCGUGAAAUCGGAGCGUGAAAGACGAAAGCACGAAAGUUGCAUCGAGAGUUCUGUCUAGAGUCGCGUGUUCUCGGGGAUCACGUGAAUCGUUCCAGAGGUGAAAGAGGACGAGGAGGAGGAGGAGAAGAAAGAAGAGAAAGGAGAGAGGAGAGAGGAGGCACGGGCCCGUCGAUAUAUUAGUUAUGCCCGAGGCGAGGUGAGGCGAAGAAGCGGAGGCGAACUCUCCACUGCCAAGGCGGCGCAAGGCGUGGUCUGUCCCUUUACUUUGCCUUCGCCUUCUGCUUUCUUCUGCUAUUCCUCUGGCCGUGCUAAACAGGAUGUUUCAUCAGAAAUCGUGGAUUUCUUUUUAUUUCUUUUUAAAGAUUUCUUCUUCAUUCGUACUUAUAACGAAUCGUCUGUAAAAGUUCGUAAUGGAAAUGCUUCGUAAAUAUCGAUACUUUAUGAACACUUUUAGAAAUUGUAAAAUGAAUAUGUGCAGAUAUUUCUGUCGUUCCCCAAAAAUUAAAAUCACGAUUCGAACGAUCGAAAUUUCUCGAUAAAGUAUCACGGUGUAAGAAUCUUCGAAGUAACUUAUAAAUAUCAAUUUUAUAGAA